rnacentral:rRNA from 1 species
UACGGAGGGAGCUAGCGUUGUUCGGAAUUACUGGGCGUAAAGCGCGCGUAGGCGGUUUUCCAAGUCAGUGGUGAAAGCCCGGGGCUCAACCCCGGAAUAGCCUUUGAAACUGGAAAACUAGAAUCGUGGAGAGGUCAGUGGAAUUCCGAGUGUAGAGGUGAAAUUCGUAGAUAUUAGGAAGAACACCGGUGGCGAAGGCGGCCCACUGGAUCGGUACUGACGCUGAGGUGCGAAAGCGUGGGGAGCAAACGGG